UGCAAGUCGAGGGGAAACGACAUCGAAAGCUUGCUUUUGAUGGGCGUCGACCGGCGCACGGGUGAGUAACGCGUAUCCAACCUGCCCACCACUUGGGGAUAACCUUGCGAAAGUAAGACUAAUACCCAAUGACGUCUCUAGAAGACAUCUGAAAGGGAUUAAAGAUUUAUCGGUGAUGGAUGGGGAUGCGUCUGAUUAGCUUGUUGGCGGGGUAACGGCCCACCAAGGCGACGAUCAGUAGGGGUUCUGAGAGGAAGGUCCCCCACAUUGGAACUGAGACACGGUCCAAACUCCUACGGGAGGCAGCAGUGAGGAAUAAUGGUCAAUGGACGAGAGUCUGAACCAGCCAAGUAGCGUGCAGGAUGACGGCCCUAUGGGUUGUAAACUGCUUUUAUAAGGGAAUAAAGUGAGCCUCGUGAGGCUUUUUGCAUGUACCUUAUGAAUAAGGACCGGCUAAUUCCGUGCCAGCAGCCGCGGUAAUACGGAAGGUCCGGGCGUUAUCCGGAUUUAUUGGGUUUAAAGGGAGCGUAGGCCGGAGAUUAAGCGUGUUGUGAAAUGUAGAUGCUCAACAUCUGCACUGCAGCGCGAACUGGUUUCCUUGAGUACGCACAAAGUGGGCGGAAUUCGUGGUGUAGCGGUGAAAUGCUUAGAUAUCACGAAGAACUCCGAUUGCGAAGGCAGCUCACUGGAGCGCAACUGACGCUGAAGCUCGAAAGUGCGGGUAUCGAACAGGAUUAGAUACCCUGGUAGUCCGCACGGUAAACGAUGGAUGCCCGCUGUUGGUCUGAAUAGGUCAGCGGCCAAGCGAAAGCAUUAAGCAUCCCACCUGGGGAGUACGCCGGCAACGGUGCAACUC
rnacentral:rRNA from 1 species